UUUGUUCUUAAGGAACGUCAACGCUCCAAUCACCCUGUUGGUCAUAAGAAAUCAUAAGCAGUUCACAAAGCAUCAGCAUGACAAAGCAUUUAGAACAAAGAUGAGAAAUACUCCACCUGUACUUUACUGCUCCAGUAAAGCACAUGUCCUUCUGGUUUAAGGAAAAGUUUCCGGUUGAGCCGGAAGGACAACACAAGUCAACAUGUGAG
ensembl:lncRNA